UGGGGAAUAUUGCACAAUGGAGGGAACUCUGAUGCAGCGACGCCGCGUGAACGAAGAAGGCUUUCGAGUCGUAAAGUUCUUUUAUAUGGGAAGAUAAUGACGGUACCAUAAGAAAAAGCCCCGGCUAACUACGUGCCAGCAGCCGCGGUAAUACGUAGGGGGCUAGCGUUGACCGGAAUCACUGGGCGUAAAGGGUUCGCAGGCGGAAAUGCAAGUCAGGUGUAAAAGGCAGUAGCUUAACUACUGUAAGCAUUUGAAACUGCAUAUCUUGAGAAGAGUAGAGGUAAGUGGAAUUUUUAGUGUAGCGGUGAAAUGCGUAGAUAUUAAAAAGAAUACCGGUGGCGAAGGCGGCUUACUGGGCUCAUUCUGACGCUGAGGAACGAAAGCGUGGGUAGCAAACAGG
rnacentral:rRNA from 1 species